GGGCCGUUAGCUCAGCUGGUAGAGCGCUUCGAUGGCAUCGAAGAGGUCACCGGUUCAAGUCCGGUACGGUCCACCA
rnacentral:tRNA from 1 species